rnacentral:rRNA from 1 species
UAAAUUAGUUCUGCCCAAUGAUUUAUUAAUUAAAUGGCUGCAGUAUUUUAACUGUGCGAAGGUAGCAUAAUUAUUAGUUUAUUAAUUGUAAACUUGUAUGAAUGGUUAUAUGAAAAUUAAGCUUUCUUUAAUUUAUUAUUAUGAAUUUAUAUUUUUUGUUAAAAUACAAAAAUAUAUUUAUAAGACGAGAAGACCCUAUAAAACUUUAUAUUAUAUUAUAAAAUAUUUUAUUUUAUAAUAUUUAAUUGGGGAGAUUAUGAAAUAUUAAUAACUUUCAUAUUUUUUAUUUCAUUAAUGGUUGUUUUGUUGAUUUAAUAUAUUAUAUUUAAGAUUAAGUUACUUUAGGGAUAACAGCGUAAUUUAAUUGGAGAGUCCUUAUUGAUAAUUAAGUUUGCGACCUCGAUG